CUUGGUGUUUAUCGAGAGUGGGGUACACCUGUUCCCAUCCCGAACACAGCAGUUAAGCCACUCAUCGCCGAUGGUACUUGGGCAUUAGUCCUGGGAGAGUAGGUCGACGCCAAGA
rnacentral:rRNA from 1 species